rfam:Camelus ferus unplaced genomic scaffold scaffold1130, whole genome shotgun sequence.
GGGAGUAGGGUCCAGCUCAGUAGUAGAGUACAUACUUAGCAUGCAUGAGGUCCUGGGUUCAAUCCCCAGUACCUCCA